CCCACAAGGUGGUACCGCUUGUGUUGAUUUGGUGUAAACUUGUGUAAAAUCAUAAUAAUGAUAAUAAUUGCUUAUCACACGAAAACAAUUUAAAGAUAACGGACGAAGUUCACCCGAAUUAAAAACAAGUCUGCCGACAAGUGCACUUAUAUAAUGACUUCGCAAUGGUCAAAUGAAGAUAAAGAGGUUCUCCUCCAAGCGUUGAAAACUCACGGAGCUGGCAAUAUUACAGAAAUAGCUAAAGAAUUUCCAUUUAAAACUCAUCAGGAUAUAUCUGUAAUGAUUAAGCGAUAUGAAAGAAUUGCACACACAAAUGACAAAAUCUUUUUCAAUGAGGAAGCACCAAUAGAGAAAUGGACAAAUUUAAUUCGACUAAACUCAGAAUAUAAUACCCUAUGUCCCAUUGCCAGGGCAUUCAAAUAUAUCAAACUAUUUGAACACCAUGGCAAUGAUGCUGAUAAUAAUGAAGUAAAUAUUAAAGAUUAUUACGAAUUGUUAGUAAAAUUUAUCGGCAGGUGUUCCACCAAAGGAGUUAAAUCCAGCCACAAAGAAAUUUCUUAUAGAUACUCUAAAAGAAACAGCAAAAGAAGUUAAAAAGGACCAAAACAAAGAACAAAUUCUUGCCUUUUUACAGAAUCUGAACUUAUCUUCACUUAAAGAUGAUAAGAAAACGUAUGGUAAGAGAAAAUCAGAAGAAUUAGAUGAUAGAGUUAUAAAUCCAUUGAAAUUUCCUAUGAAAUUGUUGAAAAAUAAAAGAAUACUGUUAAUUGUUUGACAAUUAAAAUUCUUAUAUUUCAUCUCAUCUUGCUCAUGGUAAAAGAUUUGACUGAAAGCCGCCAGCAUGAGUUUUACAUCCGGCUUUCAGCGCAAGAAGCAAAUUAUUAUUUAGAGUUAUACAAGUACUUGUGAUGAUGAUGUCAAAAAUGAUAUGCCUGUUUACAAUUUCAUGUAAGAUGCACCAAUGACAAAUGAACAAUGAAGAUGAGACUAAACAGUAACAUAUCACAUAUUUGACUUAUGUUCCAAUUGUAUUUACUUAUUUUAUAUAUAUUUAUAGUUGUAAAUGAUAUGAUUCACUUAAGUUUUAAUUUAUUGGUUAGGAGAAAGACGCCAUUUUGUAACCGAAGCAACGCAAUAUUAUAGUUUAAUACGUGAACAUAA